rnacentral:misc_RNA from 1 species
CAGCAUUCUUCUUCUCUGUCCUCUCUGGCUUCCUUACACUGUUUGGCUUUUUCAAGCAUAAUAUCAUAUACAUCUACCAGUACUCUUCCAUCUUCAGCCAGAGCGUUCUGAAAUUCAGGGCUGGCUUCAGGAGUCCAUCCUGCUUCAAAUCCUUUGCAGUACUCAUCCACUUCACCUGUGAGAUCAUUCAAGGUACUCUGAUCACAGGUAGCGCAUUUUUGAUCACCAUUUUUGAGGGUGAGACAAUAUAGAUCCUCUUCG